rnacentral:rRNA from 1 species
CCUACGGGAGGCAGCAGUGGGGAAUCUUGCGCAAUGGGCGAAAGCCUGACGCAGCAACGCCGCGUGCGGGAAGAAGGCUUUCGGGCUGUAAACCGCUUUCAGCAGGAACGAAAAUGACGGUACCUGCAGAAGAAGGAGCGGCCAACUAUGUGCCAGCAGCCGCGGUGAUACAUAGGCUUCAAGCGUUGUCCGGAUUUAUUGGGCGUAAAGAGUUCGUAGGCGGUCGAGUAAGUCGGGUGUGAAAAUUCUGGGCUCAACCCAGAGACGCCACCCGAUACUGCUUGACUUGAGUUCGAUAGGGGAGUGGGGAAUUCCUAGUGUAGCGGUGAAAUGCGCAGAUAUUAGGAGGAACACCGGUGGCGAAGGCGCCACUCUGGAUCGAUACUGACGCUGAGGAACGAAAGCAUGGGUAGCAAACAGGAUUAGAUACCCUGGUAGUCCAUGCCGUAAACGGUGGGCACUAGGUGUGGGUUUCUAUUAACGAAAUCCGCGCCGUCGCUAACGCAUUAAGUGCCCCGCCUGGGGAGUACGGUCGNAAGACUAAAACNCAAAGGAAUUGACGG